AUAUCACCUAUGACCGAGCAAGUAGUCAACUCUAUAGACUGUUUUAGAGAGAAAAAGACGUGGCUGAAAUCUUUUUCAAUAGUACGAGUAGAUGAAUAACACUCGAGAGGUUUCUUUUCGAAAUGAGCAAUCAUAGUAGGGGAGAACGGAGUCGGCCGUUAUCCGAAUUUGAGAGGAUUUAUGCGAUUUUGUAUAAAUCAACUAGGGUGGAACCGCGGAAGCUUAUACAGCUCUCGUCCCUUGC
rnacentral:ncRNA from 1 species